AUUGAACGCUGGCGGCAUGCCUUACACAUGCAAGUCGAACGGCAGCGCGGGAGCAAUCCUGGCGGCGAGUGGCGAACGGGUGAGUAAUACAUCGGAACGUGCCCAAUCGUGGGGGAUAACGCAGCGAAAGAUGUGCUAAUACCGCAUACGAUCUACGGCUGAAAGCAGGGGAUCGCAAGACCUUGCGCGAAUGGAGCGGCCGAUGGCAGAUUAGGUAGUUGGUGAGGUAAAGGCUCACCAAGCCUUCGAUCUGUAGCUGGUCUGAGAGGACGACCAGCCACACUGGGACUUAGACACGGCCCAGACUCCUACGGGAGGCAGCAGUGGGGAAUUUUGGACAAUGGGCGAAAGCCUGAUCCAGCCAUGCCGCGUGCAGGAUGAAGGCCUUCGGGUUGUAAACUGCUUUUGUACGGAACGAAACGGUCUUUUCUAAUAAAGAAGGCUAAUGACGGUACCGUAAGAAUAAGCACCGGCUAACUACGUG
rnacentral:rRNA from 1 species